rnacentral:misc_RNA from 1 species
GUAUAACUUUUUCUCACUAUUCCCACAUACUCCACUCUGAUCGCGUAUAAAAAGGGACAGUUCACAAGUGUAAUGGUUGAAGUGGGGGCCGCACUGAAGCGACAACCCCGGCAUGCAAUAAUGAUCCUUCCGCAGGUUCACCUACGGAAA